rnacentral:pre_miRNA from 1 species
CAACUACUCCCUCUGUCCCAAAUUUCUUGUCUUAGAUUUGUCUAGAUAUGGAUGUAUCUAAUACUAAAAUGUGACUUGAUACAUCUGUAUCUAGACAAUUCUAAGACAAGAAUUUUGGGACGGAGGGAGUACUUU